AUUGAACGCUGGCGGCAGGCCUAACACCUGCAAGUCGAACGAGUGGCGGACGUGUGAGUAAUUUCUGGGAAACUGCCUUAUUGAGGGGGCUAACUACUGGAAACGGUAGCUAAUACCGCAUACCAUCGGAUGUGCCCCGAUGGGAUUAGCUAGUAGGUGGGGUAACGGCUCACCUAGGCGACGAUCCCUAGCCGGUCUGAGAGGAUGACCAGCCACACUGGAACUGAGACACGGUCCAGACUCCUACGGGAGGCAGCAGUGGGGAAUAUUGCACAAUGGGCGAAAGCCUGAUGCAGCCAUGCCGCGUGUAUGAAGAAGGCCUUCGGGUUGUAAAGUACUUUCAGCGAGGAGGCGUUACUCGCAGAAGAAGCACCGGCUAACUCCGUGCCAGCAGCCGCGGUAAUAC
rnacentral:rRNA from 1 species